AUGAAACCUGUAAAUGCAGUUGAUCCCAUUGAUGUGUUAAACAUCAAAAUGAAGAGAUUCAAAAAAUUCUUCAAAGGGUGGGGAUCCAACUUGUUUGGGAAAUCUAAAAAGAGAAGGAGAGACCUUAGAGAGGAACUUGAACAUCUAGAAAAAUUAGAAGAAACUGAUGUGCUUUCUCCCGAAUUAUACUGCAAGAAAGUGGAUAUUUUGGCAAAACUUUAUGAUCUAUUGGUGGAAGAAGAGAUUGCAUGGAUGCAAAAAUCUCAUGAAAAUUGGCUGUUGAAAGGGGAUAGAAAUACUGAAUACUUUCAUAGAAUUGUAAAUGGGAGAAGAAGGAGAAAUACUAUUUUCUCACUUAGCUGUGGAGAUGAGAUAAUUGAGGGAACUAGAAACUUGCUGAAACAUGCAACUGAGUUUUAUAAAGAACUUUUUGGGCCUGCGGCUGGAAAUCUAUGCAAACUUAAGGAAAAUAUGUGGGAACCAAAUGAAAAACUGCCAAAUAUUGAC
rnacentral:rRNA from 1 species